rnacentral:rRNA from 1 species
AACGAGUGGCGGACGGGUGAGUAACACGUGGGUAACCUGCCCUUAAGUGGGGGACAACAUUUGGAAACAGAUGCUAAUACCGCAUAAAUCCAAGAACCGCAUGGUUCUUGGCUGAAAGAUGGCGUAAGCUAUCGCUUUUGGAUGGACCCGCGGCGUAUUAGCUAGUUGGUGAGGUAACGGCUCACCAAGGCCAUGAUACGUAGCCGAACUGAGAGGUUGAUCGGCCACAUUGGGACUGAGACACGGCCCAAACUCCUACGGGAGGCAGCAGUAGGGAAUCUUCCACAAUGGACGCAAGUCUGAUGGAGCAACGCCGCGUGAGUGAAGAAGGCUUUCGGGUCGUAAAACUCUGUUGUUGGAGAAGAAUGGUCGGCAGAGUAACUGUUGUCGGCGUGACGGUAUCCAACCAGAAAGCCACGGCUAACUACGUGCCAGCAGCCGCGGUAAUACGUAGGUGGCAAGCGUUAUCCGGAUUUAUUGGGCGUAAAGCGAGCGCAGGCGGUUUUUUAAGUCUGAUGUGAAAGCCCUCGGCUUAACCGAGGAAGCGCAUCGGAAACUGGGAAACUUGAGUGCAGAAGAGGACAGUGGAACUCCAUGUGUAGCGGUGAAAUGCGUAGAUAUAUGGAAGAACACCAGUGGCGAAGGCGGCUGUCUGGUCUGUAACUGACGCUGAGGCUCGAAAGCAUGGGUAGCGAACAGGAUUAGAUACCCUGGUAGUCCAUGCCGUAAACGAUGAAUGCUAGGUGUUGGAGGGUUUCCGCCCUUCAGUGCCGCAGCUAACGCAUUAAGCAUUCCGCCUGGGGAGUACGACCGCAAGGUUGAAACUCAAAGGAAUUGACGGGGGCCCGCACAAGCGGUGGAGCAUGUGGUUUAAUUCGAAGCAACGCGAAGAACCUUACCAGGUCUUGACAUCUUUUGAUCACCUGAGAGAUCAGGUUUCCCCUUCGGGGGCAAAAUGACAGGUGGUGCAUGGUUGUCGUCAGCUCGUGUCGUGAGAUGUUGGGUUAAGUCCCGCAACGAGCGCAACCCUUAUGACUAGUUGCCAGCAUUCAGUUGGGCACUCUAGUAAGACUGCCGGUGACAAACCGGAGGAAGGUGGGGAUGACGUCAAAUCAUCAUGCCCCUUAUGACCUGGGCUACACACGUGCUACAAUGGAUGGUACAACGAGUUGCGAGACCGCGAGGUCAAGCUAAUCUCUUAAAGCCAUUCUCAGUUCGGACUGUAGGCUGCAACUCGCCUACACGAAGUCGGAAUCGCUAGUAAUCGCGGAUCAGCACGCCGCGGUGAAUACGUUCCCGGGCCUUGUACACACCGCCCGUCACACCAUGAGAGUUUGUAACACCCGAAGCCGGUGGCGUAACCCUUUUAGGGAGCGAGCCGUCUAAGGUGGGACAAAUGAUUAGGGUGAAGUCGUAACAAGGUAGCCGUAGGAGAACCUGCGGCUGGAUCACCUCCUUUCUAAGGAA